GCGAGUGUAGCUCAAUGGUAGAGCCUCUGCCUUCCAAGCAGAUGGUGCGGGUUCGAUUCCCGUCACUCGCU
rnacentral:tRNA from 2 species